rnacentral:tRNA from 1 species
UCAGAAAGUAGUUUAAUAUAAGUUAGUUUUGGGAGUUAGCGAUUGGGAGUAUCUCCUUUCUGAU